CCUACGGGAGGCAGCAGUGAGGAAUAUUGGUCAAUGGGAGAGAUCCUGAACCAGCCAAGCCGCGUGAGGGAAGACGGCCCUAUGGGUUGUAAACCUCUUUUGUCGGAGAACAAAACCCGAGACGUGUCCCGGACUGCGUGUAUCCGAAGAAAAAGCAUCGGCUAACUCCGUGCCAGCAGCCGCGGUAAUACGGAGGAUGCACGCGUUGUCCGGAUUUAUGUGGAUUUAAGGGUGCGUAUGCGGUCCUUUAAGUCAGCGGUAAAAUUUCGGGGCUCAACCCCGUCGAGCCGUUGAAACUGGGAGACUUGAGUGGGCGAGAAGUACGCGGAAUGCGCGGUGUAGCGGUGAAAUGCAUAGAGAUCGCGCAGAACUCCGAUUGCGAAGGCAGCGUACCGGCGCCAGACUGACGCUGAGGCACGAAAGCGUGGGGAUCGAACAGGAUUAGAUACCCCUGUAGUC
rnacentral:rRNA from 1 species